UACGGAGGAUGCAAGCGUUAUCCGGAAUUAUUGGGCGUAAAGCGUCCGCAGGUGGCAAUGUAAGUCUGCUGUUAAAGAGUCUAGCUCAACUAGAUACAAGCAGUGGAAACUACAUAGCUAGAGUACGUUCGGGGCAGAGGGAAUUCCUGGUGUAGCGGUGAAAUGCGUAGAGAUCAGGAAGAACACCGGUGGCGAAGGCGCUCUGCUAGGCCGUAACUGACACUGAGGGACGAAAGCUAGGGGAGCGAAUGGG
rnacentral:rRNA from 1 species